rnacentral:lncRNA from 1 species
CUGGACUGAAGGAUCGCUCCCGAACUAUGGCUGCGGUACGUAGGCUGCGUCCUGACCUGUGCACAAAAAGGCACAGAAGCGUAGCAUCAGCACAACCGACCUCAUGUACUGGUAAGUGCCUGGCCUAACCCCGACAAAGUAGCGACGAGGCUAAAGAGGACCUACUUUGUUUUUCACGGAGAGAGACCACAAUACUCAUGUUCUCC